rnacentral:rRNA from 1 species
GUAACACGUAGUCAACCUACCCUGUAGACACGGAUAACCCCGGGAAACUGGGACCAAUCCGUGAUAGGUCACUUCAUCUGGAAGGAGAGGUGGUCCAAAGGGGAAUCGUGGGCUUCCACUUUUCUCGCUACAGGAUGGGACUGCGGCCGAUCAGGCUGUUGGCGGGGUAAUGGCCCACCAAACCUGUAACCGGUACGGGCCUUGAGAGAGGUGGCCCGGAGAUGGACACUGAGACAAGGGUCCAGGUCCUACGGGGCGCAGCAGGCGCGAAACCUUCGCAAUGCGCGAAAGCGUGACGAGGUUAAUCCGAGUGGCUUCCGCUGAGGAAGUCUUUUGCCGACUGUAAAAAGGUCGGAGAAUAAGGGGAGGGCAAGUCUGGUGUCAGCCGCCGCGGUAAUACCAGCUCCUCGAGUGGUCGGGGCGAUUAUUGGGCCUAAAGCAUCCGUAGCCUGUUCCGUAGGUCUCCUGCAAAAUCCAGUCGCUCAACGAUUGGCCCACAGGAGAUACCGCGGGACU